AGCAGCCGCGGUAAUUCCAGCUCCAAUAGCGUAUAUUAAAGUUGUUGCAGUUAAAAAGCUCGUAGUUGAAUUUCGAGACCGGCUUACUGGUCGUGCUAUUGUGCGUACUGGUAUAAUCGGUUUCUCCUUUCUGACGAACUAUAAUGCCAUUAAUUUGGUGUUAUAGGGAAUCAGGACUGUUACUUUGAAAAAUUAGAGUGUUUAAAGCAGGCUCACGCUUGAAUACAUUAGCAUGGAAUAACGGAAUAGGACGUUUGAUUCUAUUUUGUUGGUUUCUAGGAUCGACGUAAUGAUUAAUAGGGAUAGUUGGGGGCAUUAGUAUUCAAUUGUCAGAGGUGAAAUUCUUGGAUUUAUUGAAGACUAACUACUGCGAAAGCAUUUGCCAAGGAUGUUUUCAUUAAUCAAGAACGAAAGUUAGGGGAUCGAAGACGAUCAGAUACCGUCGUAGUCUUAACCAUAAACUAUGCCGACUAGGGAUCGGAUGAUGUUAAUUUUUAAUGUACUCA
rnacentral:rRNA from 1 species